rnacentral:lncRNA from 1 species
UUUAAAAAACUUACAAUCAUCCAUACAUAUCCAAACCACCAAAAACAACAUCAUUCCAUACUCAAAAUCAUCAUAACCAUGUAUAAUUACCCAACUUUACAAAAGACGGAGAACAAAAAUACAUAUAUACAAAAAAUAGAGAAACAACAUGUUGAGCACCACCCUUUACUUUACAUCUUACACCAAAUAUAUUAUUUACAGCUUACACUAAGUAUCCUUCAAUAUAUACACGAAAAUACAUAUAAUAACAUUUACCUUGUAGAUCUGUCAAGCUCUACCAUGUCUUCGGUACAUAAACCUUUGAAAAGAAAGGCUAUCCAUCGGCAACGUCCACGGCCAACAAAUAUUGUUUGUAACAAAAAUCUGUUAUUUAUAAGAGAAAGCAAAAUGUUAGUAGUAUCGCAAGAACGAAACAAUUGACACGUGAUUACUUGAAUACGAUUUAAGAAUUAUAAAAUACACAUAACCCUGUUAACUUUUCUC